UACGUAGGGUGCGAGCGUUGUCCGGAAUUACUGGGCGUAAAGAGCUCGUAGGUGGUUUUGUCGCGUUGUUCGUGAAAACUCACAGCUUAACUGUGGGCGUGCGGGCGAUACGGGGCAGACUGGAGUACUGCAGGGGAGACUGGAAUUCCUGGUGUAGCGGUGGAAUGCGCAGAUAUCAGGAGGAACACCGGUGGCGAAGGCGGGUCUCUGGGCAGUAACUGACGUGGAG
rnacentral:rRNA from 1 species